AAGUCGUAACAAGGUUUCCGUAGGUGAACCUGCGGAAGGAUCAUUAUCGUAGGGGCCUCGCCCCCUUCGAGAUAGCACCCUUUGUUUAUGAGCACCUCUCGUUUCCUCGGCAGGCUCGCCUGCCAACGGGGACCCACCACAAACCCAUUGCAGUACAAGAAGUACACGUCUGAACAAAACAAAACAAACUAUUUACAACUUUCAACAACGGAUCUCUUGGUUCUG
rnacentral:misc_RNA from 1 species